AUGUGUUCAGGAAAGUUUGCCGACCUAAAGUACAAAAUAUUAAGUUAAGGAACAUCCACAAGGUGUGAGAAAAUGAUUCCCAAACAAUAAGAAAGAAAGGGGAGAGCUAAGGAAGACCUUAGGCGCCAAUGAGUUUCAAAAUGCAGUAAAAGCAUAUGAAGUAAGUUUACAGCCUUAAAUAAACCAAUAUACAAAUAAGGGAACUGGCAUGUAGAUAAAAUGACUUGACUUGAUCUUUGUUGACAUGCAAAUUUAUUAAGCUGCUUAA
rnacentral:misc_RNA from 1 species